rnacentral:rRNA from 1 species
AACGAACGCUGGCGGCAUGCCUAACACAUGCAAGUCGAACGAGACCUUCGGGUCUAGUGGCGCACGGGUGCGUACCGCGUGGGAACCUGCCCUUAGGUUCGGAAUCACUCCCCGAAAGGGGUGCUAAUACCGGAUAAUGUCUUCGGACCAAAGAUUUCUCGCCUUUGGAUGGGCCCGCGUUGGAUUAGCUAGUUGGUAGGGUAAAAGCCUACCAAGGCGACGAUCCAUAGCUGGUCUGAGAGGAUGAUCAGCCACACUGGGACUGAGACACGGCCCAGACUCCGACGGGAGGCAGCAGUGGGGAAUAUUGGACAAUGGGCGAAAGCCUGAUCCAGCAAUGCCGCGUGAGUGAUGAAGGCCUUAGGGUUGUAAAGCUCUUUUACCCGGGAUGAUAAUGACAGUACCGGGAGAAUAAGCUCCGGCUAACUCCGUG